UNGAAGCAAUGAUCGACUUUGCAGGAGCCC
rnacentral:piRNA from 1 species